ensembl:lncRNA
CACACACCAGUCUCUACCUACAGAGAACAAACUACCAUGGACCAGGGGAAUCACACACCAGUCUCUACCUACAGAGAACAGUCUGAAUGACUCAAACUACCAGAACAACUAAAUGAAACUUGAGCGUUACACCUGUGGAAUGGUAUCAGGAAGGCUACCGUGUAUAACUAACUAUACAAUACUGCACAGCUUUUCAACAGUGAUGUGUUCUUUUUUAGCAACACAAUAGGGAUCUUUAAGGGACACAAUAAGAUGACCGUAUAUCACGGUCUCGUUCAUUGACCGCUGGUCUAGAAAUCAACAGUUCUGGAGAAAACAGUCUUUCCCCUCCAGAGACCUGACCCGUUCUUUUCAUUUUCCUCCUGUAAGCAGGACAAUCACGCUGCUACAGUUUGGCAGCUUCUCAAUGAGACAGGUUGGCCUCGUGUUCAGAAUGGCCCCAUG